rnacentral:rRNA from 1 species
CAAUAGCGUAUAUUAAAGUUGUUGCGGUAAAAAAGCUCGUAGUUGGAUUUCUGUUGAGGACGACCGGUCCAUACCACGUAUGCGCAUCUGGCUCGGCCUCGGCAUCCUCUCGAAAUACGUUUCUGCGCUUGAUUGCGUGGAGCGGAGUUCGGGACUUUUACUUUGAGGAAAUUAGAGUGUUCACGGCAGGCUAUCGCCCGAAUACGUUAGCAUGGAAUAAUAAUAUAGGAUCUCGGUUCUAUUUUGUUGGUUUCUAGAAUCACGAUAAUGAUUAAUAGGGAUAAUUGGGGGCGAUUUGUAUUAACGCGUCAGAGGUGGAAUUCUUGGAUUGCGUUACGACAAACUACUGCGAAAGCAUUUGUCCAAGGAUGUUUUCUAUUGUAUCAAGAACGAAAGUAAUGGGGAGUCGAAGACGAUUAGAUACCAU